UACGGAGGGUGCAAACGUUGCUCGGAAUCAUUGGGCGUAAAGUGCACGUAGGCGGUGCGGCAAGUCGGAUGUGAAAGCCCUCGGCUUAACCGAGGAAGUGCAUUCGAAACUACCGGACUUGAAUACUGGAGAGGAUCGCGGAAUUCCCGGUGUAGAGGUGAAAUUCGUAGAUAUCGGGAGGAACACCAGUGGCGAAGGCGGCGAUCUGGACAGAUAUUGACGCUGAGGUGCGAAAGCGUGGGGAGCAAACAGG
rnacentral:misc_RNA from 1 species